UACGUAGGUGGCGAGCGUUGUCCGGAUUUACUGGGUGUAAAGGGCGUGUAGGCGGGAUGACAAGUCAGAUGUGAAAUCCCAGGGCUUAACCCUGGAGCUGCAUCUGAAACUGUUUUUCUUGAGUGUCGGAGAGGAAAGUGGAAUUCCCAGUGUAGCGGUGAAAUGCGUAGAGAUUGGGAGGAACACCAGUGGCGAAGGCGGCUUUCUGGACGAUAACUGACGCUGAGGCGCGAAAGCGUGGGGAGCAAACAGG
rnacentral:rRNA from 1 species